GGCGGGUUAAACCGGAAAUGGUGGAGCCACAGCGAAAGCGAGUCUUAAUAGGGCGUUUGUCAGUGUUUAUAGACCCGAACCCUGGUGAUCUAACCAUGGCCAGGAUGAAGCUUGGGUGAUACCAAGUGGAGGUCCGAACCGACUGAAGUUGAAAAUUCAGCGGAUGAGCUGUGGUUAGGGGUGAAAUGCCAAUCGAACCAGGAGCUAGCUGGUUCUCCCCGAAAUACGUUGAGGCGUAGCGUCUAGUGCUCCAGCAGGGGGGUAAAGCAACCAUUUCGGUGCGGGCUGCGAAAGCGGUACCAAAUCGAUAUGAACUCUGAAUACCCUGUGUGUAACUAGGCAGUCAGACUGUGGGGGAUAAGCUCCAUAGUCAAGAGGGAAACAGCCCAGACCGCCAGCUAAGGUCCCAAAAUUAACGCUAAGUGAUAAAGGAGGUGGGAUUGCCCAGACAACCAGGAGGUUUGCCUAGAAGCAGCCAUCCUCAAAGGAGUGCGUAAUAGCUCACUGGUCGAGCGAUCCUGCGCCGAAAAUGAACGGGGCUAAGCGUUAUACCGAAGCUGCGGAUAAAUUUAUUUAUGGUAGGGGAGCGUUCUAUGUAGGGUGAAGCGUUAGCGUAAGCGGACGUGGACAGCAUAGAAGUGAGAAUGUCGGCUUGAGUAGCGAAAACAUGGGUGAGAAUCCCAUGCCCCGAAACCCUAAGGGUUCCUCCGGCAGGCUCGUCCGCGGAGGGUUAGUCUGGACCUAAGGCGAGGCCGAAAGGCGUAGUCGAUGGAUAACAGGUCAAUAUUCCUGUACCAGAUGUGUUUUGAGAAGGGGGACGGAGAAGGCUAACCAGGCCAGAUGUUGGUUACUGGUUCAAGCGUUCGAGGCUUUGAGAGAUGGAGAAAACAUCUUGAGCUAAGGCGUGAGUACGAGCUGCUACGGCAGCGAAGUUGGUGAUGUCAUGCUUCCAAGAAAAGCCCUAUACUCGUUAAGACACAAAUGCCAGUACCCGAAACCGACACAGGUGGGGUGGUAGAGAAUACCGAGGGGCGCGAGAUAACUCUCUCUAAGGAACUCGGCAAAAUGGCCCCGUAACUUCGGGAGAAGGGGUGCCAGCGAGAGCUGGUCGCAGUGAAGAGGCGCAAGCGACUGUUUACCAAAAACACAGGUCUCCGCUAAGUCGCAAGACGAUGUAUGGGGGCUGACACCUGCCCAGUGCCGGAAGGUUAAGGAAGCUGGUUAGCUUUUAGUGAAGCUGGCGACUGAAGCCCCGGUGAACGGCGGCCGUAACUAUAACGGUCCUAAGGUAGCGAAAUUCCUUGUCGGGUAAGUUCCGACCCGCACGAAAGGUGUAACGAUUUGCGCGCUGUCUCGGAGAGAGGCUCGGCGAAAUAGAAUUGUCUGUGAAGAUGCGGACUACAUACACCCGGACAGAAAGACCCUAUGAAGCUUUACUGUAGUUUGAUAUUGUGCUCGGGCUCUGAAUGCGCAGAAUAGGUGGGAGACGUUGAAAUAGUGCUUGUGGGUACUAUUGAGUCAUCGGUGAGAUACCACUCUUUUAGAGCUAGGGUUCUAACGCUUACCCGUUAUCCGGGAAGCGGACAGUAUCUGAUGGGCAGUUUGACUGGGGCGGUCGCCUCCUAAAAGGUAACGGAGGCGCACAAAGGUUCCCUCAGGCUGGUUGGAAAUCAGUCGUUGAGUGCAAAAGCAGAAGGGAGCUUGACUGUGAGACCUACAAGUCGAACAGGGACGAAAGUCGGUUUUAGUGAUCCGACGGUUCUGCGUGGAAGGGCCGUCGCUCAACGGAUAAAAGUUACUCUAGGGAUAACAGGCUGAUCUCCCCCAAGAGUUCACAUCGACGGGGAGGUUUGGCACCUCGAUGUCGGCUCAUCGCAACCUGGGGCUGAAGUCGGUCCCAAGGGUUGGGCUGUUCGCCCAUUAAAGCGGUACGCGAGCUGGGUUCAGAACGUCGUGAGACAGUUCGGUCCAUAUCCGGUGUAUGCGCAGGAAUAUUGAGAGGAUUUCUCCCUAGUACGAGAGGACCGGGAGGAACGCACCUCUGGUGUGCCAGUUAUCGUGCCAACGGUAAACGCUGGGUAGCCAUGUGCGGAGUGGAUAACCGCUGAAAGCAUCUAAGUGGGAAGCCCACCUCAAGAUGAGUAUUGCCAUGGCUUAAGCCAGUAAGGUCACGGGAAGAACACCCGUUGAUAGGCUCUACGUGGAAGCUUGGUAACAAGUGCAGCGGAGGAGUACUAAUAGACCGAGGGCUUGACCAA
rnacentral:rRNA from 1 species